UCCUACGGGGGGCAGCAGUGAGGAAUAUUGGUCAAUGGUCGGGAGACUGAACCAGCCAAGCCGCGUGAGGGAUGAAGGUACAGAGUAUCGUAAACCUCUUUUGUCAGGGAACAAAGGCUGGGACGUGUCCCCGGAUGAGUGUACCUGAAGAAAAAGCAUCGGCUAACUCCGUGCCAGCAGCCGCGGUAAUACGGAGGAUGCGAGCGUUAUCCGGAUUUAUUGGGUUUAAAGGGUGCGCAGGCGGUCUGUUAAGUCAGCGGUCAAAGCCCGGGGCUCAACCCCGGCCCGCCGUUGAAACUGGCAGU
rnacentral:rRNA from 1 species